CUUGUGCUCUUCCAAUGUGUGUUCCUUGAGUGGAAGAAGGGAGAUUGGAAGUACCUGCUCCUGGUAUCACCUGGACUUAAGAUCCCAUCUCCUGCCAUGAAGUGUGUGAUGAAACCCCGGUCCUUAGCAGCUGGUCCCUGUCUAUCCAAUAACAGCCUCCAGGACAAGAAGGACACCAGGCCACCCCUUCCUUAUUGCUCUGUUUCCCUCUUGUUUCUGACUCCUGUUCGUUCCCCUUAUUGCAAAUUCAACCAUGAAUUCACUCUUCUUCCUCCUUUGCUGGUUUCCUUUUUUUCUUGUAAUAUUUUACCUAGGAUUUUGGCAUGUUUAUGCUAGAAAGGGCUUCCUGUUAGUAAAAUCUUCUGUCAGAACCAGAGAUGUUUGCACACUUACAUAAAGGGCAUGUUUUGAUGAUUUUCCUAAAACAGUGACUGCACCAAGAGUGAACUAAAUUUUGUAGGAACAAAGUUGUUGGCUGCUCACAACAGUUUUCUCUGUGCUUCUGCUAUCAACAUUUCAAUCAAAUUUGGGUCCACUGGGGUAGAAGGUUAACUUGGAGAAGACUUUGGGGCUAUUGACAUAUAGAAGGGGGGCGUCACUUGAGGGAAAGAUUGGACUAGCUCACUUGCUUUUGAGGGCAUCCUGGCGUAGCACAACAAACGCUGGCUCUGUGAGAGAACCUUCCCCAAAUCACAUCAACUUGGGAGGAGCUCUGCAUCCCCGAAGGUGUUCAAGCAAGCAAGACCACCAAAAGUAUCUGGACCAACCAAAUACUGGUAAUGGGCAGAAUAAUGUCUUAGCAACUCCUGUUCGUUCCUGCAUCCUGCUGGCUCAGAUUCCACUUGUCUGUCUGAAUCACUGUCUGAAAGAUGCAUUUGUAAUUGAGAAGCCAUGUGUUUGUGUAGUUCCAUCACUUUCUUGUAAUCUGAAUACCUAAAAUAAACCUUUUGGAAAAUCUAGAACAA